CUUAGUAUAGCUCAGUUGGUAAAGCAUCUGCCUGCAAUGUGGGAGACUUGGGUUCAAUUCCUGUGUUGGGA
rnacentral:tRNA from 1 species